rnacentral:tRNA from 3 species
GAGCCUAUAGCUCAGUUGGAUAGAGCAUUAGAUUGCGGAUCUAAGGGUCGGAGGUUCGAAUCCUCUUAGGCUCA